CUUAUAUAAAGUGCUGAUUUACUGACCACAAGACAAAUACACAAUUAACUAUUGCCCUACCUGCUUCUUUUCUCUUGCAGCAUGUGGACUAUCACACACUCCCUCUUUCCCCUCCAGCCACUUUUCGCCUUUAAAUACUGAAGCCCUCAAAGUCAUCUUUGAAGAAAGGCACAGACCACAGACUUCCUGUGAUUCCACGUUUAUUUGUUCCAGAAAAAUGGAGGUCUUUGAUUGCAUUGCUACUGGUGUGGAGAUAAAAACCACUGUUCACAUCCAACCAUUUUUUUUUUUGUAAACUGGACAUAAUUGGAGACACUGGUGAUUUCAUCAAGACUUUGAUUGUAAUGACAUUUUCAGAUGGCCUUGAGAAAAUGAGGCUGACCUAUAAAGCCAAUAAAAGCGCCUUGGAAAACCUGGGAUCAUACAUUUUUAUUUGCAGCGUACUGACUUGGGAUAAGUAAAGAAUGUCACUUUCUGACAGGCCCAGGAAACUCAGGUUUUCUUGGGACCUUGAAAAAAGAGUAAUUCACCCAAUUCACACAGGUAUCUGCAGGCACAGUAAAUUCUUAGCUGGGCUCAAGGCUUUUAAAAAGUUCAAAUCUUAGAUUCCUUAUGAAAAGCUUCCAGCAAAGCCAAUUUUAUAAAGAGAAAGAGAGAGCCUGCAUGGCAAAUGAUUAUUCUUGCUGAACUUUAUGCAAAUAAUCAAGCCAAGUAAAUAGAACUAAAACUUAUUUGAAA
rnacentral:lncRNA from 1 species